CCCAGCAUCAGAUUCUUUUCCAAUGAAUCGGCUCUACACAUCAGGUAGCCAAAGUAUUAGAGCUUCAGCAACAGUCCUCCAAUAAAUAAUUAAGGUUGAUUUCCUUUAGAAUUGCCUCUUUUGAUCUCUUUGUAUGGAUGGUGGGCAGCAAAAGCUGGCCAGGGAGGUUGGGCAUUCAGGAAAUGGACUGGAUUUCAUGUGUCAGGCAUUUCAUAUACAUUAUUUUACUUGUUUCUCAAGACAACUCCUUGAAAUGGGUUUUAUGAUAGUAUCUACUUUUCAUAGGAGGAAUUUAGGUUCAGAGAGGUUUAUUAACCUGUCCAAGCUCAUGUAUAAAGUUGAGCUCUUGGAAAGUAUUUGAGUCGGGGGCAGUGGGGUGGUGCUCUCUGGGCCGUCAUGGGUUCUGCAAGGGCAGAUGAGGUCUGGAUGAGGGUAGAGUGGCAGGAGAACCACAUGCCUGGGACAGGUUAGUCCAAGGUUAGUGGACAGCGUCACCAUGCCAUUGAGCAGGGCAGCUUCAGGCUAGAAUGAAGGAGUGGGAUCAGAGUGGCCACUGGACAGGACAUCACCUCUCUGGGGAUUGGAGGAGACAGAGCUGGGGGAACUGGGAGUGAGCAAGAGAGGGCAGAGGCCGCCUGAGAGGGCCCUGCAGGCCAGAACAGGAGUGGAAAGAGCUCUAAGAGACUGAGUUCUUUACUGCAUCCCAUGUGCGCUCUGUGAUGGGGAAAUGAAAUGUCCCAUGUAAAAUAACAGGUGACCCCCAGGGGAGCAUAUCCCCUCUGCUGAUGUAUGUGCUUUAAUGAACUGCAGGGGACCACUAGCUUCUUGGCUUCUUUGAAUGAUUUAGAAAAAAGUGUCCUCUGGGUGGGUGCCUAGUUCAGAGCUUGGGCUGGAUCUCUGCGCCCUCGGCUUGGGCAGGUGUUGACAUAGGCUAGGUGCUGAUGUAGGACAUCUGUAGAGCAGGCCCAUUGCAGGGCUGGUGGGGCCGUGUGACCAGAGAUGAGGAACCCAGGAGAGUGGGUUGCUGCAUCCAGCCUCCAGGAGGGUGGGGACUGACUUGUACCUGUAUUUGUAUGUACAGCACCUGGCACUGGGCUGGUUUGGCAGCGUCUGGUGAGAGAAUGAAUAAAAGAGGGUUGCUUCAGUCCACGGGAUCGCAAAGAGUCAGACAUGACUUAGCAACCGAGUAACAACACACCUUCCUUUCGCUUCCCUUGAGUGAGUCUUCAGCCUUCUUUGGAAGAAGAUUUGGGGGUGAGGAAGAGGAUGCUAUGGGGCAUGUAAGAUGGAGGCUAAAAAAGGGCGAAGCUAGACUCAUUACGUCAACUUCACAGUAGAUGCUUUAGAAACCUUAAAAUAAAAAAGCUGUAUGUUUUUGAGUGAUGGUGGGUUACUAGGAGCCAGACACAGUUCUUACCCUUCUGUGAUGGGCAGUUUUAUAUAUCACUUUGCUUAGACCUGAGUCUCCAGCUAUUCAAUCAAAUGCUAAUUUAGGUAUUGCUAUGAAGGCGUGUGCAUGCUAAGUUGCUUUAUUUGUGUCCGACUCUUUGUGACCCUAUGGGCCAUAGCCCACCAGGCCUCACUGUCCAUGGGAUUCUCCAGGCAAGAAUACUAGAGUGGGUUGCCUGCCCUCCUCCAGGGGAUCUUCCUGACCCAGGAAUUGAACCUGCAGCUCUUAAGUCUCCUGCACUGGCAGGCAGGUUCUUGACCACUAGCGUUACCUGGAAGCUGUGAAGGUAGAUGUCCUUAAAGUCCAAAACCAGUGACUUUAAGUAAAGGAGAUGAUCCAAGGCAACCCGGACGGGCCUGAUUCGAUUAGUUCAAAGGUUUUAAGAGCAGAGCUGAGGCUUCCCUGAAGGGGAAGAAAUUCUGCCUGGGGCCUGUAGCUGGGUCUGAGUUCCAGCCUGCCCUUCCUAAGGGCCUCCCCUGUGGAUUUCAGACUCACCCAGCCAGCCCCACAAUCUCAUAAGCCAAUUCCUUGCAACAAGCCGCUUAGUAUGUAUCUCCUGCUGGUUUUAUUUAUUGGCUGAACCUGGACCAAUAUACCUUCAUAUGGAUCAAUUUAUCUAAUCCGCUCAAAAACAUUGUUAUGAUCCUCAUUUUAAACUGGAGCCCAGAGAAGGUGAGCAGUGCCAGCAAGCAGCGAAGCCAGGACUGAAACCACAAGGCUUCUCCCUCCGAGCCCAUGUCCUCAGCUGCUACCGCAGAGACUCGCAGGGUGACAGCCACACGUGUAGAUAGCAGCCAGCGCAGGAUAGCUGACAGCCUUUCAGAUGGAUGGGGCAGUCGUGACUGACUGGGACACUGUUGUGAGGGAGGGGGUGGCAGCUGCCCAGAGCAAGUCACCAUGGCACUCAGACCUGGGGGACACACACAUUUUGACAUCCCCUUCCAGCAAUAAUCUGUCCUUUCCUCUGACUGCCCUGACAUUCUGAGUAAGCACAAAAUGUUCCCUCAGUCUUGCGUUUGCUUGUACAUUAUUUUGCUUUCGAGUUAUCCUUUGGUGGUUUGUUCCGUUUGUUUUCUCAUAGGGCUGAGCUUAUUAAAGUUCCCUGACAUGUUCACUAUCAGUCCUCUAUCCUGAACUCUUUCCUCUGAUUCAUUCAUUCAUUCCAAAUGAUGUUGAAUUACCCUUCUUAACAAAGCAGCACCCAAGAAGAAGAUGGGGUGGUGGCUCAAAAGGAACUGAAGGGGCCUCCAAUAUCUUGGGGGGUGCUCCUUGGCUGGGUACAUGUCACACUUGAGUGAAAAUUACCCCUGAGGAGAAAUAAGUUAAACAAAAGCCUUUGGGUCCAAAUUUGGGGUGCUGAUUUUCCCACCGUUUAAAAUAAUGGAGUAGACAUCCACGGCAUUCGGUUUGUCUCUGUGUAACAGCUCGGACUGGAAACGCUGAUCUGUGCUCACUCCCAGCUCUCCUGCCCACGGCCCUGCAGUCCUGAGACUGAACAUGAGCAGACCAGGGGCUGAGGAACAGAAGGCGUUUCCUUCUAGCAAUGGCUUCUGGAAAAUGCGAAGUGCAACUCGAGCCACAGUCAAAACCAGACCUGCCUCUGCCAGGCUUGGGACUGCAGAUGGGACCUUGGAACCAGAGCUAAGGGGAGAGACAGCCUGAGACCCAUGACCUCCUCCACACAGGGAGAGGUGGCUCCUGACUGGUAUCACAUCUAAGAAAGUGAAAGUGAAAGUCACUCAGUCGUGUCCAACUCUUUGUGGCCU